rnacentral:ncRNA from 1 species
GCCAAAACGCGCUGUCUACACGCUUUGGCAAUCUGUACACCAGCUGUCCGUACCGACACGGGGACAGCGCAGAUGGACAAGGAGGG